UACAGAGGUCCCGAGCGUUGUUCGGAUUCACUGGGCGUAAAGGGUGCGUAGGUGGUGAGGUAAGUCGGAUGUGAAAGCUCCGAGCUCAACUCGGAAAUGGCAUUGGAAACUACCUUGCUCGAGGGUUUGAGGGGGGACUGGAAUACUUGGUGUAGCAGUGAAAUGCGUAGAUAUCAAGUAGAACACCAGUGGCGAAGGCGAGUCCCUGGAAAACUCCUGACACUGAGGCACGAAAGCUAGGGGAUCAAACAGG
rnacentral:rRNA from 1 species